rnacentral:rRNA from 1 species
GGUUUCCGUAGGUGAACCUGCGGAAGGAUCAUUAUCGUAA